CUUGCUCUCUACUCAGCCAUACAAGAGUUAUUUUCCCGGCCAAAAUACUCAGAAUUUGCAGCAAAGAAAAACAAGAAAAAUACAGGCUCUUAUGCGAUACAACUGAGAGAGAGAGAUGUUGAAUGAACUACAGCUUCUGUUAUACUUCAGACGGGAGAGGGGAGACUUUUAUACUGCUGUCCAGGUGGCAUCAAGACAGCCAUCAGAUUAGUUCAAGCAAUCCAACGGUUAGAAGAAGCGCAAGUCAAAAAGGGCUACGUAUAAGAUAAGUGGUUUUUAACUCUUCUAUAUUCUGUUCGGCAUCCGGGAGGAGGAGGAUAAGCUCUCUUUCUCAGUAUAUUUCUUUUGGGACAUAAUAUUCAGGUUCUUAAUUACUUACUUUGCUUUACUAUUUUUAUGUUUUUUGUGUUAAUAUUUACAUCCCCUAGGUCUUGCCCUUCGAGAGGCUCAAUUUCCUCUUACUUUGCUUAAAUUAAUGAUCGAGUUACAAAGUAGUUUUUGAACGUCGAAAUUGCGUUUAAGUGAAGUGAGAGAUUUUGGUUAAAGUUUGGAGACCCAAGAUUUUUGAAAAAAUCUAUCCUUGACAUUAAGACGAUGUUAACAAAAGUAAACUGAAGUAAAAAACAAUAAGGGUAGUUUAGUCAUUUUGUAGGAAUAUCUACCACCUGAGUCAGUGGACGCCAUAGUCCUUGUAAGUCUCUUGUUGUAGGUUUAAGGGGUAUUAUAUUGAGCAAGACUAGUUUUACUAAGACACAUACAAAGGGGACAUAUAAAGACAAUCCUCACCCUUGAUUUUCAUGAUUUCUUUCUCUCUCUCUCUCUUUUUCCGUUUUUUCUUUGUUUUUUUCUUCUGGAUGAUGUCACUUUGUAACCUUCUUUGUAUGAGUCUU